CGUAACUUCGGGAGAAGGGGUGCUCUUUAGGGUUAACGCCCAGAAGAGCCGCAGUGAAUAGGCCCAAGCGACUGUUUAUCAAAAACACAGGUCUCUGCUAAACCGUAAGGUGAUGUAUAGGGGCUGACGCCUGCCCGGUGCUGGAAGGUUAAGAGGAGUGGUUAGCUUCUGCGAAGCUACGAAUCGAAGCCCCAGUAAACGGCGGCCGUAACUAUAACGGUCCUAAGGUAGCGAAAUUCCUUGUCGGGUAAGUUCCGACCCGCACGAAAGGCGUAACGAUUUGGGCACUGUCUAAACGAGAGACUCGGUGAAAUCAUAGUACCUGUGAAGAUGCAGGUUACCCGCGACAGGACGGA
rnacentral:rRNA from 1 species